rnacentral:lncRNA from 1 species
AAUAUUGUAAAAACAAGGUGAAAGGAACAAAAAAAUAAUGGCAGAGGUGUUAAUAGUUUUAACGAUAAAGAUAUUUUAAGGUAUUUUAAAAAUAUAGGAAGUAAACGCGUGUUGGAGAAUUUGAAUUAUAAAACACAAAUUUUAUUAGAGAAAGUUCAAAAACAUUACAAGAACAAUUCACACACUCACAAAUCACUCUUAGAAGCUAUUUUCCUUCUUAUGUUUUUUUCUACUUACACUUGAUGCAUACAACACAACUGGCAUAGGUAUUUAUAGUGAAUGAAACACAAACAUAAUCAUAACAAUAUACAUCACCUAACAUGUUCCACCAAGUUUCAUCAUAGCACCAAACAUAUUCCACUCACCUAACAUGCUCUAAAAGAAUCCUUUAAUGGCAUCCGAAGUAUAAAGCUAAUCUCACUCAAUUAGAUGCUUCAUGGGCAUAAUAUUGUAGGACCAUGAUGAUGGAGCAUGAUGAUGUGCAACUCAACACGGCAUUCCAUUUAAAUGAAUUAUUUGUGUAAAACAAGUUUAUUGUUUUCAACAACGCAUACUAACAUCAAAUAUAUAGAUUAAACAAGCUUCUACCCCUAAAUUUUUUACAUGUCUUUAAAGGUAAUUAAUGUUAGAUUUUUAACAGAAGAGGGUUUCGCUGAUUUUCCCAUGCAUUAAAAAAUGGACUAAAUGUCAAUUAAAACCUUUUUUUAAUUAAAAAUUUAGGUGUAAAGUUAACAACCAAGUAUUCAACACUUAACACAUGUCAAGCAAAUGAUUAACAAUGCAUCACUUGGUAUAUAUACCAACAAUGUAUCCUAACCUAACAAUAUAAAUUUAGUAUUUUUCUUCUUUUGGCCUGGGUCCUUAGCGUAGUUUCAUCGAAGAUCAAAGAAAGAAAUGUUAUUUUAUUAAUAAUGUUAAAGAUCCCAACAUUUGAGUUUUAAUGUGAGUUCCAAUUGUUAUGUGUCAAAUCUAUUAGAUGAUAAAUUUUAUAUCUUACAAAAUUGUUAUUGUACCAUUUAAUAAAAAAACACCACAUCUAUUAGGGCUUAAGUUGAAACUCAAAAAACUACCUCUUCCUUUUCUGUGCUAAUAAAUGGGGUGGCUAAAGGGCUGAUCCAACCUCAAAGAGGUUUAAGGCAAGGAUGCCCAUUGUCCCCAUAUCUUUUUAUUCUCUGUGCAGAGACUUUUACAAAUCUUUUACAGCAAGCAGAAUCUCAGCAAUUGAUUCAUGGGAUAAAAUUCAGCAAUGAACUUUCCAUCACUCAUCUUUUGUUCGCUGACGAUAAUUUGAUUUUUACAAGAGCCACAAGGGAGGAUUGCACAAAUUUAAAGAAGAUUUUUGAGUGUUAUGCUGCAGCCUCUGGGCAGAUUUUCAAUUUCGAGAAGUCGUCUAUGUUUUUCAGUGAGAGUACCAAGCCGGAGCAGAUUUCUUCAAUUACAACCAUCUUCCAACUUCAGGUGGUAUCCAGACAUGCGAAAUACUUAGGGCUGCCCUCCAUGGUGGGUAGAAACAAGACGUGUUUUUUUAAGGAUAUCAAACUCAGAGUUCUUCGAAAGAUUUCGAACUGGCAAGCAAAUUUGUUCUCUUGUGGGGGGAAGGAGGUGUUGAUAAAGGCUAUAACUCAAGCGAUGCCUGCAUAUGCCAUGAGUGUGUUUAAGCUCCCCCUAGGACUUUGUGAUGACAUGCAGAAAGCAAUUGCUAGUUUUUAGUGGGGAAGCAGCCGAGAUCACAAGUCAAUUCAUUGGUCGAAAUGGAAUAAUUUGUGUCAACCAAAGAGUAGAGGUGGGCUGGGAUUUCGAAACUUGUCCAGCUUUAAUCAGGCCUUAGUAGCAAAGCAGAGCUGGAGGAUCAUCCAAGAGCUGGAGUCACUGGUAGCAAAAGUCUUAAAGGCAAGAUACUUUAAAAACUCAAGUCUGAUGCAGGCUCAGUUAGGCUCAUAUCCUUCCUUUAUAUGGAGGAGUAUUUUAUGGGGCUGAAAUGUAUUAGAAAAAGGGUUACGCUGGAGAAUUGGAAAUGGUGAGCAGCUGCUAGUGUAUCAAAGUCAAUGGAUUCCUAGACCUAUAACUUUUCAGCCAAUAUCCCCCCCAUCAUUGAACCCAGAUACAACUGUUGCAGAGCUGACAAAUGAGGAGCAAAGCUGGAAAGAAGUUGUAAUUAGGCAACAUUUUCUUAAAGAAGAUGCUGAUCAAAUUUUGAAAAUUCCUUUGCCAAGACAACCAAAACCAGACCAAGUGUUGUGGUACGAUGACAAGAAGGGUAAUUAUUCAGUUAAAAGUGGUUACCAAGUGGCUAUGAAAAUACAUUUUCCUAAGAAACCAAGCUGCUCGGGUGAGAAUGAUAAGUCUUGGCAUGCUAUUUGGUAUCUGCAACUUCCGAAAAAAGUUAAAAUCUUCAUGUGGAGGGCAGCAAAUAAUUUGUUGGCAACGGCAGGAAAUCUUUGGAAGAGGACAGUGGUGCAAUUCCCUUGGUGCCAGAGAUGUAAGUUAUGAAAGGAGACUGUUUUCCACACUCUCUAUGAAUGCAAAGCUUCAAGGAAAAUAUGGAGGCUAACCCCUUUUGGUGAGGAUAUUGAGUUUAGCAAUGGAAGAGAUGUUCUAAGCUUGCUACAGGAUUUGAAUGAAAAAAGGAGAAAAUCUGAGAUGGAACUGAUUGUUGCUGUGUGCUGGAGCAUCUGGCACUUAAGGAACCUUUUCCUCUUCAAAAACAAAAAAGAAGAUCCCCAUCUAUCAGUUGCGGCAGCAGAAGCAAUGGUGCAAUCUUGUAGCAGAAUCCAAAUGCCCCAAAUGCAAGGUAACUCCCAGCAGAGUACUGCUAAUCAGAAACAAUGGAAACACCCUCCAGAGGGUUGGUUCAAAGUUAACGUUGAUGCAGCAGUAGGAGUGGAACAACAAAGAGCUGGCCUGGGAAUUGUUAUAAGGAAUUCAGGAGGAAAGUUAUAGUUGCAGCAAUGAAGCCCUCAAAGUUUAUUGGCAAGAUUGAUUUUGCAGAAGCUGAAGCUAUCAGGCUCGGGUUGGAGAUAGCAGAAAAUGUUGGAUGUUUUCCACUAAUUGUGGAAUAUGACGGACAGGAAGUGGUGGACUUAGUCAAUUUCAAGAAAAGCUCAAGAGCUGAAAUAUUUUGGGUUGCUUCUGAAAUCCAAGACCAAGUAAAGAGGCUGAACCAGGUGAAAGUACAAUAUACCCCAAGAGGGUGCAAUACAUUAGCUCAUUCUCUUGCAAGACUAGCAUUAGAGCUAAAUGAUUUUGUUUUUUGGGUAGAAAAUAUACCCUCAGAUUUUUUGUACCUAUUCACAUAGUUGGAUGAAUGAAAGUAAUACUUUCUCUCAAAAAAAAAAAAGUUGAAACUCAAAUGUUAAUAUCUCUAACAUUACUUGUUAACAUUUCAUUUAAUUGAACCAAAAGGAAGAAAAAAAUUGCAAAUUGAAACGGUGCUGAGUUGUAUCACUGCCGAUGUUGAAUCGACUACCGCAAGAUGAUGCAAAUAACUUAAACACAUUACAGAAGCCCAAUCACCAACACUACAUAGAAAGUAAGAUCCGUAAACACAUUUUGUUUAUUCUAUUUUGUGUUCUGAACAUUCAUUAGCUAGACGGGCUGUUAAGACUCACACAACGUAAACUGAAUAAUAAGUUAAUUAAUCAACAAGCACAAAACUUGAAAAUUUUCUGACUGCUGUAGGUGGGCGCGCUCUACACUUACAUCAUACAAAAUGCUUCUUUAUCAUAAUUUUAAAAUGAAUGGACUUUAUUAAUCCAACUAAUAUGAUCAUCAUUAUAAAGUUUGGACUAAUCAUCAACUUAUUAGAUGCUUCAUUAGAUGCAAUUGAUCCUAUCCAAUAUACAUAUGCUUUAAAUUUCUUAUAAGAAUUAUGAUGUUCCAUUAGUUCAAAAAAUUGGUGGCUGUAUUUUGAUAUAUAAUCUGAAUAUAAUUUUCUAUUCUUUUUUUUUUUUUAAAAAAGGAUUAGGUAGUCAACAUAUGCCAAAUCAAUUUUUUUUGGCCCCCACUCCAAUCUAGGUAGCCAAUUAAAUAAAAUUACUUAAAAAUAUUUGGUCAAACACUCUUGAGGAAUAAUUUUCUAAAAUUUAUUUUUGACUAACUGUAUGGAUGAAUUUUCCUUGCAGUGAAUAUUUAUCUCCUUUAACACAA